GCCAGCGUGGUGUAGUGGUUUGAGUUCUGGACUGUGACUCUGGAGACCAGGGUUCAAAUCCCAGCUUGGCC
rnacentral:tRNA from 1 species